rnacentral:tRNA from 1 species
GCGCGGGUGGCGGAAUUGGUAUACGCGUACGUUUGAGGGGCGUAUGUCGAAAGACAUGUGGGUUCAAGUCCCACCCCGCGCA